rnacentral:tRNA from 1 species
UUGCCGGAUGGUCGAGCGGCAUCACGGCGACGAGCCUGUCGAGCUUGUACUCGAUGCUGUCGAUCAUGGCGUUGCCGGCGGC